rnacentral:rRNA from 1 species
GAUGAACGCUAGCUACAGGCUUAACACAUGCAAGUCGAGGGGCAGCAUGAACUUAGCUUGCUAAGUUUGAUGGCGACCGGCGCACGGGUGAGUAACACGUAUCCAACCUGCCGAUGACUCGGGGAUAGCCUUUCGAAAGAAAGAUUAAUACCCGAUGGCAUAGUUCUUCCGCAUGGUGGAACUAUUAAAGAAUUUCGGUCAUCGAUGGGGAUGCGUUCCAUUAGGUUGUUGGCGGGGUAACAGCCCACCAAGCCUUCGAUGGAUAGGGGUUCUGAGAGGAAGGUCCCCCACAUUGGAACUGAGACACGGUCCAAACUCCUACGGGAGGCAGCAGUGAGGAAUAUUGGUCAAUGGACGAGAGUCUGAACCAGCCAAGUAGCGUGAAGGAUGACUGCCCUAUGGGUUGUAAACUUCUUUUAUACGGGAAUAAAGUGAGGCACGUGUGCCUUUUUGUAUGUACCGUAUGAAUAAGGAUCGGCUAACUCCGUGCCAGCAGCCGCGGUAAUACGGAGGA